rnacentral:piRNA from 1 species
UGACUGGUGUGAGGUAGAAU